AUAGCCCAGCUUGCUCCGCUGACGAGUGGCGAACGGGUGAGUAAUAUAUCGGAACGUGCCCAAGAGUGGGGGAUAACGUAGCGAAAGUUACGCUAAUACCGCAUACGAUCCAAGGAUGAAAGCAGGGGAUCGCAAGGCCUUGUGCUCCUGGAGCGGCCGAUAUCUGAUUAGCUAGUUGGUGAGGUAAAGGCUCACCAAGGCGACGAUCAGUAGCUGGUCUGAGAGGACGACCAGCCACACUGGAACUGAGACACGGUCCAGACUCCUACGGGAGGCAGCAGUGGGGAAUUUUGGACAAUGGGGGCAACCCUGAUCCAGCAAUGCCGCGUGAGUGAAGAAGGCCUUCGGGUUGUAAAGCUCUUUUGUCAGGGAAGAAAAGGGUACGGCUAAUAUCCGUGCCUCAUGACGGUACCUGAAGAAUAAGCACCGGCUAACUACGUGCCAGCAGCCGCGGUAAUACGUAGGGUGCAAGCGUUAAUCGGAAUUACUGGGCGUAAAGCGUGCGCAGGCGGUUUUGUAAGUCUGUCGUGAAAUCCCCGGGCUUAACCUGGGAAUGGCGAUGGAGACUGCAAGGCUAGAGUUUGGCAGAGGGGGGUAGAAUUCCACGUGUAGCAGUGAAAUGCGUAGAGAUGUGGAGGAACACCGAUGGCGAAGGCAGCCCCCUGGGUCAAGACUGACGCUCAUGCACGAAAGCGUGGGGAGCAAACAGGAUUAGAUACCCUGGUAGUCCACGCCCUAAACGAUGUCUACUAGUUGUUGGGUCUUAAUUGACUUAGUAACGCAGCUAACGCGUGAAGUAGACCGCCUGGGGAGUACGGUC
rnacentral:rRNA from 1 species